ACGAAAGUCUGGCUUAGCGAUCCAUCGUGUGCCCACUAUUGGGGCCCGGUGGUGACAGAAAAAUUACCCCAGGGAUAACAGGCUCGUCGCGGGCGAGAGCUCCUAUCGACCCCGCGGUUUGGUACCUCGAUGUCGGCUUUUCCUAUCCUGGUCCUGCAGCAGGGGCCAAGGGUGAGGCUGCUCGCCUAUUAAAAGGGAACAUGAGCUGGGUUUAGACCGUCGUGAGACAGGUCGGUCUCUGCCUGAUGGAAGCGUGGAUGUCUGAGGGGAAGUUGCUCCGAGUACGAGAGGAACAGAGCAGCGUGGCCACUGGUUUACCGGUUGUCUGAUAAGGCAGGCCGGGCAGCUAAGCCAUUUGGGCUAAGUGCUGAAAGCAUCUAAGCACGAAUCCCAUCCCGAGAAAAGACAUCCUUUCGUAAGAUGAAGGUCGGCAGCAGAAGACUGCGUUGAUAGGAAGGUGGUGUAGAUCACAAGCUUCGGCGAGUGGUGAGCCAGCCUUUACUAACAGACC
rnacentral:rRNA from 1 species